GGGCCAUAGCUCAGUGGUAGAGCAUCUGCCUUGCCAGCUGAAGGUGCCAGCUUUGAUCCCUGGCAUCUCCA